GAUGAACGCUGGCGGCGUGCCUAAUACAUGCAAGUCGAGCGAACAGAUAAGGAGCUUGCUCCUUUGACGUUAGCGGCGGACGGGUGAGUAACACGUGGGUAACCUACCUAUAAGACUGGGAUAACUUCGGGAAACCGGAGCUAAUACCGGAUAACAUUUGGAACCGCAUGGUUCUAAAGUGAAAGAUGGUUUUGCUAUCACUUAUAGAUGGACCCGCGCCGUAUUAGCUAGUUGGUAAGGUAACGGCUUACCAAGGCGACGAUACGUAGCCGACCUGAGAGGGUGAUCGGCCACACUGGAACUGAGACACGGUCCAGACUCCUACGGGAGGCAGCAGUAGGGAAUCUUCCGCAAUGGGCGAAAGCCUGACGGAGCAACGCCGCGUGAGUGAUGAAGGGUUUCGGCUCGUAAAACUCUGUUAUUAGGGAAGAACAAAUGUGUAAGUAACUGUGCACGUCCUGACGGUACCUAAGCAGAAAGCCACGGCUAACUACGU
rnacentral:rRNA from 1 species